ensembl:lncRNA THBS4-AS1 THBS4 antisense RNA 1
GGCAUGUCCUUGGGGACUAUCCUAGGUCAGAAUUGCUCAGGGAAAUGAAGGCUCUGGGAUGCAGAACGGAGAAUGCUUUGCUUCUAGAGCAAGCCUCCCCUCCCCAGACCAGCUCCGUGGCUGGAGAAUGCACAGGAAGCGUGACCAUUCAUGGAGCUGUCCCUGAUUGGAGUGGAGGUAGACAUACAGCAUGGCGCCGUCUGGCCCUGCCAGUCACCUGCCAAAGACGGAAGGUUUCUCCCGGAGGGACUAUGACAGUCCCCACCUCUACACGAUGGCCCACCCCCAACAGGAGCGUCAAGGCAGACAGACUCUGGAAGUUGUAAGGAUGAGGACAGUUAGAGAUGACAGCAGGUACUCAUUGCUGGCAGGAAUCAGGCAUCAGAUCCAUGCCUUCUUCUUUGCUUACAUGUAAGAUCAUGUGAAUGUUGAUGAAAACACCAUCAGACUGGAGGCUGCGUCCGGCCACUCAGACAAAGAAGGAAUAGAAGUGAAGGAAGAAGGCUGGACUGUGAACCAAUGACACUGAGUUGCCCGCGCCACCGUGGAGGGCAUAGGGGACAGGUCAAAAGUUCCAGUGAAGUCCUGGGAGGUGGUGUGAGAAGUUUACUCUGGGGACAGGGAGAUGAUCUGCUUAAAAAGCAAGUUAAUUUUUCUUAUUGCUGUUCCUUUGGCUCUUUUACAAUGGAAUGACAAAGGAAUGGGUGCACAGAGAAAUGCUGGUGGCCUGCAUUGAGAAUUUCUGAUGAGGUAGGCUGAGAAACUGACAAAUGAGCUGUCAGCUCCGCUGCAAUGACACUUCAGGGGCCAGGUUUUUUUAGCUUUUAUAUAUAUAAUAUAUAUUAUCACACUGCACACUAUAUAUGUAAUAAAUAUUAUACAAUAUGUUUAAAAAAUGAAAAUUAAAAUUUUCAUCUUUAUUGAGGUAUAAUUGACAAAACUGAAUAUAUUUAAAGUGUGCAGUGUGAUGAUGUGAUAUACGUAUACAUUGUGAAAUGAUUACCACAGUCAGUUAAGUAACACAUCCAUCAACUGACAUAGUUACCUUCCUUUUUUUCUUUUUCAGUGAGAACACUUAAGAUCUGCUCUCUUAGCAGAUUUCAUAUAUAUAAUAUAGUAUUAUUAACUACAGUCACCAUGCUGUACAUUAGAUCUUUUUCAUCUUAUGCAGUUUUAUUGGCAUAACAUUUACAGGUCGUAAAAGACAUCCAUUUGAAGUAUAUAUAUUGUUUAAUGAUUUAAGUCACUCACAACCUCUUAGUUGCCAAAUCCAAUGCAUGCUUUCCAAUGACUUGUCUCGAUCUUUCAGCCUCCCUGGCUGUGCUAUCAGUUCGCUCCUUUUUCUGGCUUCUGCUCUUUUUCCUUGGCCUAGUCCUUCGUUUUUGGGGUUUCCUGGAGUUCUAUUUACUGUCUACUUUCCUUCUCUCUAGGUGGCUCAGUUAUUACCUUUACACCAAGAUCUCGCAAAUCUAUUUGCAGACUACUUUGUCCUGGUAAAAGCUGAGAAGCAAUAAAUCCCCAUCUAUUCCUAAGCAAUAUAGCAUUGCGGAGAAGAACUCAGGCUCUGUAGCCAACCUGGAAGAUGUGUGACCUUAGUCUAAAUACGUAACAUUUCUUUUUUUUCUUUUUGGAGACAGGGUCUCCCUCUGUCACCCAGGUUAGAGUGCAGUGGCGAUCACAGCUCACUGUAGCCUCAAACUACUCUUGUACCCAAAUGAUCCUUCGGCCUCAGCCUCCUGAGGAGCUGGGACUAUAGGCAUGCUCCACCAUGCCUGGACUUAAUGAUGUAAUAUUUCUGUCCCUCAGUUUCUUCAAUUGUAAAAUGGGGAUAAUAAUAAUCCCUGUUUAUGAGGUUGUUGUGAGGAUUAAAAUAAGUGACUUGAUAAAUGUAAAGUGUUUUUACUUACAAGGAAACAAGGAACCUAGAGGCUGGAUAACUUUCAAAUAGUCAUACACGUAAUCAGUAGUUCUUUUCUUGAUAGUCAACUCUGGUACAUCUCUCAUCUUGGACACAGUUUGACAGGAACUUUCAGAAAUAAAACCCAUAUCUGAAUACUUAAGUUAUAGGCAUCCCUAAGUGCUAAGCACUUUAAUUUAAUACAAUGAAAAGUUUUGAAAAGUUUUUUUUUUUUUUUUUUUUUGAGAGGGAGUCUUGCUCUGUCGCCCAGGCUGGAGUGCAGUGGUGCGAUCUCGGCUCACUGCAAGCUCCGCCUGCCGGGUUCAUGUCAUUCUCCUGCUUCAGCCUCCAGAGUAGCUGGGACUACAGGCACCCGCCACCAGGCCCGGCUAAUUUUGUUUUCUAUUUUUAGUAGAGACGGGGUUUAACCAUGUUAGCCAGGAUGGUCUCGAUCUCCUGACCCCAUGAUUGAAAGUUUUAUGAAAAUAAAUAAUGCCAUUUGGGGAUUGUGUAGUCACCAGUAAAAUACUGAACUAUUAAUAUAAACUACCAAGCUCUUCACAAUUUUAAAAUACAGGAGUAAUAAUUAUUUACUCAAUAAAUAGUUAUCUAAUAGCCUAAUAUUGCAACUUUGAUAGAAAAUAAAGAACUUGGCACUUAUAAAAUUAUUCUUACAUAAAAAUUACUUUUAAAAUUACUCAUAUUAAACACUUUUUCAGCACAAACUUUUGCCUUUAUUCUGCCAAUCAAAUAUAUUAUGCCCACAUGUUCUAGGUGUGUUUGGAAGCUAUGAUCUAUAAACAUACACUUGUUUUAAUAACCGGUUCUGCUUUGAUAACAACAGCUGUGAGAAAUACUUACCAAAGUAUUAACGCAGAUCGAGUUGGGAACGCACGCUCCAUUUCGACACUCAUCAAUGUCAGUGCAGACCUAGUGCAGAAAAGUUCAAAGAAAGUUUAGCGAGACAUGCUGCUUAAAUAGAAAUGCAAAUAAAUC